AUUGAACGCUGGCGGCAGGCCUAACACAUGCAAGUCGAACGAGUGGCGGACGGGUGAGUAAUGUCUGGGAAACUGCCCGAUGGAGGGGGAUAACUACUGGAAACGGUAGCUAAUCCCGCAUACCAUCGCAGUUGCCCAGAUGGGUUUCGCUAGUAGGUGGGGUAAAGGCUAACCUGGGCGACGAUCCCUAGCUGGCCUGAGAGGAUGACCAGCCACACUGGAACUGAGACACGGUCCAGACUCCUACGGGAGGCAGCAGUGGGGAAUAUUGCACAAUGGGCGCAAGCCUGAGGCAGCCAUGCCGCGUGUAUGAAGAAGGCCUUCGGGUUGUAAAGUACUUUCAGCGGGGAGGCGUUACCCGCAGAAGAAGCACCGGCUAACUCCGUGCCAGCAGCCGCGGUAAUAC
rnacentral:rRNA from 1 species